rnacentral:rRNA from 1 species
AUUCCAGCUCCAAUAGCGUAUAUUAAAGUUGUUGCGGUAAAAAAGCUCGUAGUUGGAUUUCUGUUGAGGGCGACCGGUCCAUACAACGUAUGCGUAUCUGGCUCGGCCUCGGCAUCCUCUCGAUAGACGUUUCUGCGCUUGAUUGCGUGGAGCGGAUCUCGGGACUUUUACUUUGAGGAAAUUAGAGUGUUCACGGCAGGCUAUCGCCAGAAUACAUUAGCAUGGAAUAAUACUAUAGGAUCUUGAUUCUAUUUUGUUGGUUUCUAGAAUUGAGAUAAUGAUUAAUAGGGACAAUUGGGGGCAUUCGUAUCAACACGUCAGAGGUGGAAUUCUUGGAUUGUGUUGCGACGAACUACUGCGAAAGCAUUUGCCAAGGAUGUUUUCAUCG